UCUGGUAACCAUAGCAUUGUAGAACCACCUGACUCCAUGCCGAACUCAGUAGUGAAAUGCAAUAGCGCCGAUGGUAGUGUGGGAGUUCCCAUGUGAGAGUAGGACAUUACCAGAU
rfam:Thalassotalea sp. PP2-459 NODE_53_length_8873_cov_32.443142, whole genome shotgun sequence.